rnacentral:rRNA from 1 species
AGUAAAGUGGCGUACGGGUGAGUAACACGUGAAUAACCUGCCCCUUUGUGGGGAAUACCGCUGGGAAACCGACGACAAUACCGCAUAAGCUCGAGAGAGGAAAGCAGCAAUGCGCAGAGGGAGGGGUCCGCGGCCGAUUAGCUAGUUGGUAAGGUAAUGGCUUACCAAGGCAACGAUCGGUAGCCGGCCUGAGAGGGCACACGGCCACACUGGCACUGAAACACGGGCCAG